rnacentral:rRNA from 1 species
CCUUUGAUGACGACUGGCGCACGGGUGAGUAACGCGUAUCCAACCUUCCCAUAACUACGGGAUAACCCGUUGAAAGACGGCCUAAUACCGUAUGACAUCGUUUGCUGACAUCAAAUAACGAUUAAAGGUUUAGCGGUUAUGGAUGGGGAUGCGUCUGAUUAGCUUGUUGGCGGGGUAACGGGCCCACCAAGGCGACGAUCAGUAGGGGUUCUGAGAGGAAGGUCCCCCACAUUGGAACUGAGACACGGUCCAA